UGACACGAGAGAACAUUGUGGACCUGCUCUGU
rnacentral:piRNA from 1 species